GCGCAGGAUCUGAGUCGCCGUCGAUGGAUUUCGCGUAGCCUGGCUUCUUUUUCUUUGGAUCCGGUGCGUGCGUGCAAGCUCUCUCUCUCUCUCUCUCUCUCUCUCUCUCUCUCUCUCUCUCGGUGCGUGCGUGCGUGCGCGCAUUGCACACCACUAGACCCAAACCCUAAACCAAAUCAGGGGAGCUCUCGUUGCCGGAUCGCUGGCCUAUCGUCCGGAUGUCCGCCGCGUCAGUUCCCCACAGCUACGGUGCCGCCAGCCACCGCCGUUCCAUUGCCUUGGAUUCGGCUGUGCUCGUGGGCUGGGAACCGUGCUCUGUUGUCUGAUGCGUCGUUGGAGCGGGAGGUUUGAUCGGUCGAGGCCAGGUAUGAGCAGCUCCUUUGCUGGCUGGAUGGAUGGAUGUAGGUCAUAUGUCGUGAACUAACACCACGACACCUCUUUUGGAACGGAGGGAGUAUGUAUGUACGUAUGGAUGUCAUGGUCAUGUUGCUUGGGGGUUCAACCUCUUUUUGCGUUAGGGUUCACUUCGUGUGUUCUUUCGCUCCAGGGGUCAUUUUUGUCAAUUUUGCCCCCCUCCCCAUUAUUUUUGCUAAAUGGCCCCUUCACAGGAGUAUGUAGCAGAGCAUCUACAGCCAUACAUGGAUCUGGAACCGGAGCGGAUACCCAUCCGGGUCCAGAUCUCGACCGACCCCUUCUCCCGCUGGUGACGAGCCCCUAGCUAGCUAGCUCGGACCAGCCCGGCUGCGAGAGGCCACCGGUGGCAUGGCUGCGUGCGGCGGCAAGGCCGCGUGUAAUGCGAGCGCUCUACUUGGAUCUGUCCGAAUCCUGGCGAGCCCUGUCUCCCGCUCGCCGUGGCCGCUGAUCGCGCUCGUCGGCUGGGGCCGCGUCCCUCCUCAUACGGCGGCGAUGAUGGAGGGAGCCGCCGGCGCCGGCCAGGCCCCCGACCGGCGGACGCGCCGGGCNNNNNNNNNNGUCCGCCGCGUCAGUUCCCCACAGCUAUGGUGCCGCCAGCUACCGUCGUUCCAUUGCCCUGGAUUCGGCUGUGCGCGUGGGCUGGGAACCGUUCCCUGUUGUCUGAUGCGUCGUUGGAGCGGGAAGUUUGGUCGGUCGAGGGCCAGGUAUGAGCAGCUCCUGAGCUGGAUGGAUGGAUGCAGGUCAUGUGUCGUGAACUAACACCACGACACCUCUUUUGGAACGGAGGGAGUAUAUUUUGGAACGGAGGGAGUAUGUAUGUACGUAUGGAUAUCAUGGUCAUGUUGCUUGGGGGUUCAACCUCUUUUUUGGAUAAAGAAGAGGGGCGAUGCCCAUAAUUAUGACUGGCUGAAAUAAUCAUGUCUUUGAGACAUCAAGACAGCCGUGGCAAGGUGGGACUAAAUAGUGUCUGAAAGUGGGUAUCUGCGUUGGAGUUGCUCUUAGAGCCCACCCUUACCUCUGUUGCAGCCUGUCCAAUUCAUCGCCAAUGUUGGAUGUUCUGUGCCUUGGACGGUUGUUCUGAUGAGGGCAUGUACAUUGGUUCAGUCGGAAACCAUCGGCAGCAUGCGGCCAUCUCAGUGAUAACCAGGGCUGUUCUCUUACAUUGUGAUGUGUGGAUUAUGCAGCAAGAGAUGUGGGUGUUGGGUUUGAAGAUUAAAUGCUAAACUGAGACCUCUCUUGCUAUGCUACAUAUACUCAGUUCAGUUGCAUUUUGUUCUGGAUUUGGCAUGGAUCCUCUUCACCUCCCCCCCCCUCUCUCUCUCUCACACACACACACACACACACUCACACUCACCCUAAAACAAAUCAGUCAAGCUCUCAUUGCGACUCGCUGACCCGUCGUCUGUCUGGGGGGCUGCAACAUCAGUUCCUCGAAUCUACGGUGCUGCCAGCCACCGCCAUUCCAUUGUGCCUUGGAUUUGGUUGUGGCGUGGGCUGGGAACCGUACAGUGUUGUCUGAUGUGUCAUACGAGCCGGAG
rnacentral:lncRNA from 1 species